rnacentral:rRNA from 1 species
AGAGUUUGAUCCUGGCUCAGAUUGAACGCUGGCGGCAGGCCUAACACAUGCAAGUCGAGCGGUAGAGAGAAGCUUGCUUCUCUUGAGAGCGGCGGACGGGUGAGUAAUGCCUAGGAAUCUGCCUGGUAGUGGGGGAUAACGUUCGGAAACGGACGCUAAUACCGCAUACGUCCUACGGGAGAAAGCAGGGGACCUUCGGGCCUUGCGCUAUCAGAUGAGCCUAGGUCGGAUUAGCUAGUUGGUGAGGUAAUGGCUCACCAAGGCUACGAUCCGUAACUGGUCUGAGAGGAUGAUCAGUCACACUGGAACUGAGACACGGUCCAGACUCCUACGGGAGGCAGCAGUGGGGAAUAUUGGACAAUGGGCGAAAGCCUGAUCCAGCCAUGCCGCGUGUGUGAAGAAGGUCUUCGGAUUGUAAAGCACUUUAAGUUGGGAGGAAGGGCAGUUGCCUAAUACGUAACUGUUUUGACGUUACCGACAGAAUAAGCACCGGCUAACUCUGUGCCAGCAACCGCGGUAAUACAGAGGGUGCAGGCGUUAAUCGGAAUUACUGGGCGUAAAGCGCGCGUAGGUGGUUUGUUAAGUUGGAUGUGAUAUCCCCGGGCUCAACCUGGGAACUGCAUUCAAAACUGACUGACUAGAGUAUGGUAGAGGGUGGUGGAAUUUCCUGUGUAGCGCUGAGAUGCGUCGAUAUAGGAAGGAACACAGUGCCGAACGCAACCACCUGGACUAAUACU